rnacentral:rRNA from 1 species
CAGGGUUUGAUCCUGGCUCAGAUUGAACGCUGGCGGCAGGCCUAACACAUGCAAGUCGAGCGGAUGAAGGGAGCUUGCUCCUGGAUUCAGCGGCGGACGGGUGAGUAAUGCCUAGGAAUCUGCCUGGUAGUGGGGGAUAACGUCCGGAAACGGGCGCUAAUACCGCAUACGUCCUGAGGGAGAAAGUGGGGGAUCUUCGGACCUCACGCUAUCAGAUGAGCCUAGGUCGGAUUAGCUAGUUGGUGGGGUAAAGGCCUACCAAGGCGACGAUCCGUAACUGGUCUGAGAGGAUGAUCAGUCACACUGGAACUGAGACACGGUCCAGACUCCUACGGGAGGCAGCAGUGGGGAAUAUUGGACAAUGGGCGAAAGCCUGAUCCAGCCAUGCCGCGUGUGUGAAGAAGGUCUUCGGAUUGUAAAGCACUUUAAGUUGGGAGGAAGGGCAGUAAGUUAAUACCUUACUGUUUUGACGUUACCAACAGAAUAAGCACCGGCUAACUUC